AUACCAGCACCCCGAGUGGUCGGGACGAUUAUUGGGCCUAAAGCAUCCGUAGCCGGUUCUACAAGUCUUCCGUUAAAUCCACCUGCUUAACAGAUGGGCUGCGGAGGAUACUAUAGAGCUAGGAGGCGGGAGAGGCAAGCGGUACUCGAUGGGUAGGGGUAAAAUCCGUUGAUCCAUUGAAGACCACCAGUGGCGAAGGCGGCUUGCCAGAAUGCGCUCGACGGUGAGGGAUGAAAGCUGGGGGAGCAAACCGGAUUAGAUACCCGGGUAGUCCCAGUUGUAAACGAUGCAGACUCGGUGAUGGACUAGCUUUAUGCUGGUCCAGUGCCGCAGGGAAGCCGUUAAGUCUGCCGCCUGGGUAGUACGGUCGCAAGACUGAAACUUAAAUGAAUUGGCGGGG
rnacentral:rRNA from 1 species